rnacentral:rRNA from 1 species
GUCCGAGUUGUAAUUUGAAGAAGGUAACUCUGGAGUUGGCCCUUGUCUAUGUUCCUUGGAACAGGACGUCACAGAGGGUGAGAAUCCCGUGCGAUGGGGUGUCCAAUUCUAUGUAGAGUGCUUUCGAAGAGUCGAGUUGUUUGGGAAUGCAGCUCUAAGUGGGUGGUAAAUUCCAUCUAAAGCUAAAUAUUGGCGAGAGACCGAUAGCGAACAAGUACAGUGAUGGAAAGAUGAAAAGAACUUUGAAAAGAGAGUGAAAAAGUACGUGAAAUUGUUGAAAGGGAAGGGCUUGAGAUCAGACUCGGUAUUUUGCGAUCCUAUCCUUCGUGGAGAGGUUUCACUUGCAGCUUACCGGGCCAGCAUCGGUUUGGAUGGUAGGAUAAUGACAUUGGAAUGUGGCUCUUCGGAGUGUUAUAGCCUUUGUUGAUACUGCC